GACGAACGCUGGCGGCGUGCCUAAUACAUGCAAGUCGUACGCUUCUUUUUCCACCGGAGCUUGCUCCACCGGAAAAAGAAGAGUGGCGAACGGGUGAGUAACACGUGGGUAACCUGCCCAUCAGAAGGGGACAACACUUGGAAACAGGUGCUAAUACCGUAUAACAAUCGAAACCGCAUGGUUUUGAUUUGAAAGGCGCUUUCGGGUGUCGCUGAUGGAUGGACCCGCGGUGCAUUAGCUAGUUGGUGAGGUAACGGCUCACCAAGGCUACGAUGCAUAGCCGACCUGAGAGGGUGAUCGGCCACAUUGGGACUGAGACACGGCCCAAACUCCUACGGGAGGCAGCAGUAGGGAAUCUUCGGCAAUGGACGAAAGUCUGACCGAGCAACGCCGCGUGAGUGAAGAAGGUUUUCGGAUCGUAAAACUCUGUUGUUAGAGAAGAACAAGGAUGAGAGUAACUGUUCAUCCCUUGACGGUAUCUAACCAGAAAGCCACGGCUAACUACGUGCCAGCAGCCGCGGUAAUACGUAGGUGGCAAGCGUUGUCCGGAUUUAUUGGGCGUAAAGCGAGCGCAGGCGGUUUCUUAAGUCUGAUGUGAAAGCCCCCGGCUCAACCGGGGAGGGUCAUUGGAAACUGGGAGACUUGAGUGCAGAAGAGGAGAGUGGAAUUCCAUGUGUAGCGGUGAAAUGCGUAGAUAUAUGGAGGAACACCAGUGGCGAAGGCGGCUCUCUGGUCUGUAACUGACGCUGAGGCUCGAAAGCGUGGGGAGCAAACAGGAUUAGAUACCCUGGUAGUCCACGCCGUAAACGAUGAGUGCUAAGUGUUGGAGGGUUUCCGCCCUUCAGUGCUGCAGCUAACGCAUUAAGCACUCCGCCUGGGGAGUACGACCGCAAGGUUGAAACUCAAAGGAAUUGACGGGGGCCCGCACAAGCGGUGGAGCAUGUGGUUUAAUUCGAAGCAACGCGAAGAACCUUACCAGGUCUUGACAUCCUUUGACCACUCUAGAGAUAGAGCUUCCCCUUCGGGGGCAAGGUGACAGGUGGUGCAUGGUUGUCGUCAGCUCGUGUCGUGAGAUGUUGGGUUAAGUCCCGCAACGAGCGCAACCCUUAUUGUUAGUUGCCAUCAUUUAGUUGGGCACUCUAGCAAGACUGCCGGUGACAAACCGGAGGAAGGUGGGGAUGACGUCAAAUCAUCAUGCCCCUUAUGACCUGGGCUACACACGUGCCACAAUGGGAAGUACAACGAGUCGCGAAGUCGCGAGGCUAAGCUAAUCUCUUAAAGCUUCUCUCAGUUCGGAUUGUAGGCUGCAACUCGCCUACAUGAAGCCGGAAUCGCUAGUAAUCGCGGAUCAGCACGCCGCGGUGAAUACGUUCCCGGGCCUUGUACACACCGCCCGUCACACCACGAGAGUUUGUAACACCCGAAGUCGGUGAGGUAACCUUUUGGAGCCAGCCGCCUAAGGUG
rnacentral:rRNA from 1 species